rnacentral:rRNA from 1 species
UACGUAGGCAGCAAGCGUUGUUCGGAGUUACUGGGCGUAAAGGGUGUGUAGGCGGUUGUUUAAGUUUGGUGUGAAAUCUCCCGGCUCAACUGGGAGGGUGCGCCGAAUACUGAAUGACUAGAGUGCGGGAGAGGAAAGUGGAAUUCCUGGUGUAGCGGUGAAAUGCGUAGAUAUCAGGAAGAACACCCGUGGCUAAGGCGGCUCUCUAGUACGGUACUGACGCUGAGACGCGAAAGCGUGGGAGCGAACAGG